AUCCAAUCACAUGAUCACGUCGAUGUUUCGCGUCUCUCCUCGUGUGGUCUGUAUUUCAAAAUAAGAGCCGUGACCAGAAGUUGACUCCAAAAAUAUUAAAAAUAUUAUUUAAAAUGAGGAACGCUUCACGAAUUUGCGUGUCAUCCUUGCGCCAUCCCUAAACCGAUGCUCCCUUUCCGGUUGUCCUACAUGGCUUGCAUCCUAAUUGGUCUGUCCUACUUGUCAGCUAAACGAUGUAAUUGGCUAGUUUAGUUGGACACCGCGAAAAGGAGGCGUCAGUUUGAUUCUACUUCACUGCCAUUUCGUUUUUACAGACUCAGUCUUUGUCGACAUUUCUUUCUUUACAGCGAUAAACUUUAUUGUGAGUAGCGGACUUUUCACGAAGAUCAUGGACCAUCGCCCUUUGUUCCGUGUGCAGCCUUCGUCCACUGAGCUCACUCUCAGGCCCUCACCAGAAGCACUGACGGUGGCCCAGGCCUAUCAUGGGUCUGAGGCAUGGAAGGUGAAGGUGCCUCAAAAGGUGAAGGAGGAGGCGCAAGCUCGCACUCUGCAAGGAGGAGGAGAUCCCCACUGCUCCCAGCUGCUUCUCAGCCAAUAUGAGAUCCAGUUUGGGCAGUACCGGGGACAGACCUUCAAGUGGCUCCUGAGUCACGACGUGGGCUACGCUGUGUCCCUGCUGGCCUCACACCAGAAGGAGCGGGAGAGUGGUGACACAUCCAGCUCACCACUUAUGGCCAACAAGGUGCUGUGGAGUACAACACAGAAAUAUCUCACUCAUCCUAGUACAGUAAAAGUAGAGCCAUCAUUAGAACUAUUAUACGGAUCCCAACUCACACAGCUCAAUCAGAGCAAUCAUCAAGAAAUUCCUAUUUCUGUCAUAAUACACAUAUUCUGUUCUCCCGCUACACAGGAUGCCCUCACCUCCUACAGCAAGCUGUUCCCAGAGGUGAUGUCAGCCGUGGAGGGACGCCGUGCCACGGAGGGUUCCAAGUCUGUCCGGAGCCAAGACAAGAAGUUGGUGGAGUUCGGCCCCCACGGAGCCAUGACCUACGCCUCCAUGUACGAGGCCACGGGGAAAGAGGUUGAGACCUACGUGCAGUGGCUGAGGAAGAAGAAGUGCAUCCCAGGCAGCAACCUGCAUGCUUUAAAGACCUACAUACUGGGCCGGGACCAGGAGAAGAACCAGCAUCCCUCCCAGCAGCCCCAGUGCCCACCAUCUGACAAGGUCCCAUCUUCAGCCUCCACUCCUGUGCCAGUCGAUGACCUGGACCUGUCUUCCAGUGGUGACAGCGGCGUCGCCGUGCGGCCCAGGACCAGAGCUGCAGCCGCAGCUGAGGGCUGUCCUAAACCCUCGCGACCAAUUAGUGGCUCAGAGGUGAGACACACACACCCCCCCCCCUCCCUCCCUCCCUCUGCAGGGCAGCUCCCCCACUGUGCUUCAAAUUGUUUGGCUUGUGCUCACCUUUUGUCUGUUUCUGUGGUGAAGUUGCUGCCUGCAUCCCCCACUGUGCUUCACAUUGUUUGGCUUGUGCUGACCUUUUGUCUGUUUCUGUGUUGAAGUUGCUGCCUCACAGCUGGAGGCAGACUCUGCCGGAGGAGCAGCAGGACUGGGUGGGCCGGGCUCUGUUCACCAGGAACGCCAGGGGCCAGCGUGUCCUCACCACCGACCUUCGCCUCUGGUGGUACCCUCCCGGAGCCCGGCCCCUCUACACCCAGACCCCUGCAUCGUCCCACGCCUUCUUCCAGAGGCCGUUCUUCCUGUGGAUGCCCUACAGGAUGUGGGCGUGCAGGUUUGUGUGCAAAACCUGUGACACGAAGCUGACCGGCGCAGGACUGUACAAGACGGUGCGCAGAGUUCUGGACAGGGACGGCUGGUACUUUAUGGGCACAGAGUGCCUGGAAUGUCGUUCCUGUGGGAAGAAGAUGGCCGCCUGGGUCCCGGACAUCAUCAAUCAGUUGGACCCGGGUCACCGGAAUCAAUUCCCGGCUGUACUCACCUACAAGUAAGUGCUGAGCCUGUGAGACGCCUACAUAUAAACGUAAAGAGGCGUGUCGGGUCAGGAUUUCAACCGUUGACUUGUUGUGCUCCCUUUCAGGCUGUCCUGCCACAAGUCUGUGAUCUCGCAGAUGAGGCAGCGGACUUUGGGCAACAGUGCGACCCGCCUUCGCAAACAGCUGAUGGAGGACCACACAGAGACCUGGAUGUCCUGCACUGCAACGUACCUCGGGGUGCUGAAGAAGCUGGGCGUAGCGGGUGCAGCAGUCAAGCCGGUGACUGUCCCACCCCUGCACCCGGUGCCCACCGUGGGCUGGCUCCUCUCCGUCUUCGUCAGGGACGCCCUGUCUAGGCUGGAGGCGACCAAGGCCAGGGUCACGUCUAUCUUCGGCAACAUUCUGAAGAUGGAAUCUACAAAGAAGGUCCGUUUUGGUCAUCACGGAUCAAUCCAUCUAAUUAGAUAUAAUUAGAUCUAAUUAUAAUUAUAAUCUAUAUAAUUAUGUAAUUAUCAGUGCUGAUUACAUUUUCUUUCUGCCUAUUGUCAAACGUCCAGAUGACCUCC
ensembl:lncRNA